rnacentral:rRNA from 1 species
ACAUGAGCAAAAUCUCAACUUUAUUAGAAGAGACGCAUUUAUUAGAUAAAAAGCCAGUUCAUGCUUUUACAGUAUGAAAAUUGGUGAUUUAUAAUAACUUAGCAAAUCGCAAAGUGAAAACAGGCGAUAAAUCAUUCAAGUUUCUGACCUAUCAGCUUUCGACGGUAUGGUAUUGGCUUACCGUGGCAGUGACGGUUAACGGGGGAUUAGGGUUCGAUUCCGGAGAGGGAGCCUGAGAAACGGCUACCACAUCUAAGGAAGGCAGCAGGCGCGCAAAUUACCCAAUUCUAACAGUUUGAGAGAGGUAGUAACAAGAAAUAACAAUACAAGGCAGUUAAAAUGCUUUGUAAUUGGAAUGAUAGAAAUUUAAACCCUUUUUAAAGUAUCAAUUGGAGGGCAAGUCUGGUGCCAGCAGCCGCGGUAAUUCCAGCUCCAAUAGCGUAUAUUAAAAUUGUUGCAGUUAAAAAGCUCGUAGUUGAAGUUCUGCUGAAAGUAACCGGUCUGCUUUUAAUAAAAGUGGUAUCUUGGUAUGUAUUUAGCAAUGAUGUCCUUUGAAGUGUUUUUUACUUUAUUGUAAUAAAGCAUAUUCAGGACUUUUACUUUGAGAAAAUUAGAGUGUUUCUAGCAGGCUAACGCUUUGAAUACUGCAGCAUGGAAAUAAUAAGAA